GACGAACGCUGGCGGCGUGCUUAACACAUGCAAGUCGAACGGAAAGGCCCUGCUUUUGUGGGGUGCACGAGUGGCGAACGGGGGAGUAACACGUGAGUAACCUGCCCUCGACUGUGGGAUAACUUCAGGAAACUGGGGCUAAUACCGGACAGGAGCUCCUGCUGCAGGGUGGGGGUUGGAAAGUUUCGGCGGUUGGGGAUGGACUCGCGGCGUAUCAGCUUGUUGUUGGGGUAGUGGCUUACCAAGGCUUUGGCGGGUAUCCGGCCUGAGAGGGUGACCGGCCACAUUGGGACUGAGAUACGGCCCAGACUCAUACGGGAGGCAGCAGUAGGGAAUAUUGCAAAAUGGGCGGAAGCCUGAUGCAGCAACGCCGCGUGCGGGAUGACGGCCAUCGGGUUGUAAACCGAUUUCGCCUGUGACGAAGCGUGAGUGAAGGUAAUGGGUCAAGAAGCACCGGCUAACUACGUG
rnacentral:rRNA from 1 species